GGGGGCAUGUGCACGCUCUGUUUACAUACCCACUCACACCUGUGCACCCUCUGUAGUUCUGUGGUGUGGGGGACUCUGUCCUCCCGCUGUGGUUCUACGUCUUUACACACACACACAGUCUCAUAGAAUGUAUGUCGCGUUUAACGCAAUACAAUACAACUUUCAGCAACGGAUCUCUUGGCUCUCGCAUCGAUGAAGAACGCAGCGAAAUGCGAUAAGUAAUGUGAAUUGCAGAAUUCAGUGAAUCAUCGAAUCUUUGAACGCACCUUGCGCCCUUUGGCUAUUCCGAAGGGCAUGCCUGUUUGAGUAUCAUGAACACCUCAACUCUCAUGGCUUGCCAUGAUGAGCUUGGACUUUGGGGGUCUUGCUGGCCUAUGGGUCGGCUCCUCUCAAAUGAAUCAGCUUGCCAGUGUUUGGUGGCAUCACAGGUGUGAUAACUAUCUACGCUUGUGGUUUUCCAUCAGGUAACCUUCAGUGAUGGAGGUUCGCUGGGCUCAUAAUGUCUCUC
rnacentral:rRNA from 1 species